GAGUAGUCUCUACCCUGGGGUGUAUGCACAGGCUCCAGUGUGAGGAAUCCAGAUGAUCUGUUUGCAUGUCUUUGAGUGAGCUGACCAUAGACUGAGCCUCUGAAGCUGUGAUCCCAAAAUAAACUCUUCUUCCUCUAA